rnacentral:lncRNA from 1 species
UGUCCAUGUGUCACUUUUGUUCACUAGCCCCUCUAGGUUCUUGUUCACUUGUCAUGCAUUAAAUAGGAUUAUAAUCUCUAAUUCUUACACAGUAUCUCAUAUUGAAAUUAAAUCACAAUCAUGCAAUAAAAGCUCACUAAUAACCCUACUAUGCAAGAUGCUCAAUGUAUAAAUAUAAGUUCAAAUAUGACACUUUAAACAUAAAGGAUUUCGAGGUCCUUGGAAUGCACCACCCACCUGACGGUUGUAGGGAUGCUACGGUGAAUUUCUUGGAAAUUUUGAAGCCUAGUCCGCAGUGCUGCGGCUAUCUGUACUGAAAAAUGACGUUUUUGUCAAUAACUUUGCGUACACUCCUGUCGGAUUAUGCGUCGAACCGAGCGUUCCAACGCGUUUAAACACCCUCAAUUAGGUUUCUAAUGAUCAAAAUAGAUCAAACCCAACUUGGCAAAACCCUCUGGGUAUGCCUAGCAUAUUGUAUCUAUUAAAUUCUAGGGUUUGAUCUUUUGUUACAAGCAAAAGAGAAGCUUGUUGAAGAUUAGGAACUAAGUUAGAACCUUCCCAAAACCUUUCUAGGGCUUAAAAGUACAAACCCUAGAAAUCCGCAUUAAAGCUCCAUGAAGAAAACUAGGAUUCAUUGGAUAUUCAAAGCUCUACUACUCUUCUAAAGCCUCUAAAGAGACCAAAACUUAAGAACUUAGGGUUUAAAACCAAACCCUAAAAGAAAUCUCACAAAAACUCACCUCUAUUCCCAAGCUCUACCAAGUCCUCCUUGUUGGAGAGCUUCUAAAACCACUAAAGCCACCCAAGAUCCCUCCUCAAGCUUCUUCUUCUUCUUCUCCUUCAAGCCCUAGGUAAUUUCUAGAGAGAGAGGAGAGGAAAUGAGAGGGAGAGAGGUGUGUGUGUGUGCUGUGAAAAGGGGAGGGGGAUGGGCCAUAUAACAUGUUGCAACAAUUGCAACUAAGUCCCCCAACUCUUUCUCUGUGCACUGCCCAGACUGGGCAUUUUUCGCAGUGAGGGACCGGUCUCCCCGACAUAGGACCGGUCCCCGAGAGCUUCUCCCGCGGACUGCGCAGGCUGCACGCGAAGCAACCGGUCUCCCUCGAUGGGACCGGUCUCUAAGGGACCGGUCUCUCCUCGCAGGGAUCGGUUCCCGAGAGCUGAUUUUUCAGGACUUAGCCGAUUUCUCGGCCAUCUCGCUGCCUACGCAUUCGGGGACCGAUCUCUCCCACCAGGGACCGGUCCCAGAGAGCACAAAACCUGCAGUUUACAGAUUUUGAUUUCCAAAGCUCUCGAAGGUCCCCUAGUAAUGCACUUUUGCAUUAUUUGACGCCUUCGGCCUCUCCGAAGUGUACCAACCUCGCACUUUGGUCAAUUUGACCAAGGUUCGAAUUUAAUUACCGAGGUUUCGGUAUGUUACAUUCUCCACCACUUAAAUUUAGUUUCGUCCGCAAAACUUACUUAAUUGAGACUUAAACUCAUACCUCAAUUCAGCUCGUUAAAGAGGUGAGGAUAGUGCUCCCGUACUGCGCUCUUGAGCUCCCAAGUGGCUUCUUGAUCAUUGUGAUUGCUCCAACGGAUCUUAACAUACGGGAUCUCGCGAUUUCGUAGUUUUCUUAUUUCUCGAUCGAUGAUGUACGCCGAGAACUCCUCAUAGGUCAUAUCCUUUUGGAUCUCGGACGGUUCGAACGAGAGAACAUGAUCGGGGUCGUGAACGUACUUGCGGAGAUUCGAUACGUGAAAUACAUCAUGCACUCCCGCAAGCCUCGGUGGUAAAGCUAUCUUGUAUGCCACCGCGCCGACCCGCUCCAAUACCUCAAACGGUCCGAGGUACCGGGGACUUAGCUUCCCCCGGAGCCCAAACCGUCGAUUUCCUCGCAUCGGCGAUAUCUUUAGAAAGACGUGGUCGCCAACUGCAAACUCUAUGUCCUUUCUCCGCUUCUCGGCAUAGCUCUUUUGCCGAGAUUGCGCCGUAGUGAGUCUUUGGCGGGCAAGGCAAACUUUCUCCUCUGCCUCCCACACUACAUCGGGGCCGAGAGUCGCUCUCUCACCCACAUCGCUCCAAUGGAUUGGAGAGCGACACUUCUUUCCAUAAAGGGCCUCGAAUGGCGCCAUCGCGAUACUUUCUUGGUAGCUGUUAUUGUACGCGAACUUCGCCAUCGGUAGAUGAUCGUGCCAACUACCCUUAUAGUCCAAUACACACGCUCGGAGCAUAUCCUCGAGUAUUUGUAUUGUCCUCUCCGAUUGACCAUCACUUUGAGGAUGAAAUGCCAUGCUAAAGUCGAGCCGUGUGCCUAAGGCCUCCUGUAGGCUCCUCCAAAAAUGAGACGUGAACCUCGGGUCCCGAUCUGACACGAUAGACACGGGCACCUCAUGAAGUCUCACAACCUCGUUGAUAUACAGUUGAGCCAACUUGUCCUCCGACCAAGUAAUAUGAAUCGGUAGGAAAUGUGCUGACUUCGUCAACCAGUCUAUUAUGCAUCGUGUCCACCUUGAGAUCGAGGCAACCCGGUCACGAAGUCCAUUACGAUAUUUUUCCAUUUCCAAACGGGUAUAGGUAAACUUUGCAACUUUUCCGCCGGAAACCGCCGCUCCGCUUUUACUUGUUUGCAAGUAAGACAUUGCGCAACAAACUCCCCAAUGUCUUUCUUCAUGCCCGGCCACCAAUAGUGCAAUUUCAAAUCUUGGUACAUUUUGGUGCCGCCCGGGUGUAUACUAUAAGGAGAUUGAUGCGCCUCUUGCAUAAUCGCCUUGCGUAUGUCCUUAUUCUUAGGCACACACCAGCGGUUUCUAAACCGGAGUGCGCCGUCGGUACCAAUGCCAAAAUCAUCGGCACUACCGCUCUCAACUUCACCGCGCACCUUUUAGAGAUACUCAUCAGAAGCUUGUAGCUCUUUUAUCCUCUCCAACAAGGUCGGUUGCACUACUAACGCGGCAAGUGUAGUCGGCACUCCCGGCUCCACUACUUUCAAGCCAAGUCGUUGCAUCUCCUUUUGCAACAAUGGUUGGGGUGUAAUUGCCGAAGCCAAAUUUUCUCCUGAUUUUCUACUAAGGGCAUCGGCCAUCACAUUUGCUUUCCCGGGGUGGUAUAGAAUAGUAACGUCAUAGUCCUUCAACAAUUCUAGCCACCGCCGCUGUCGCAUAUUUAGCUCCUUUUGGGUGAACAAAUAUUUAAGGCUCUUGUGAUCCGUGUAGAUCUCACAAUAUUUCCCAUAUAAGUAAUGCCUCCAUAAUUUUAGCGCAAAAAUAACCGCCGCUAACUCCAGAUCGUGGAUCGGGUAGUUCUUCUCAUACGUCUUCAAUUGGCGCGAAGCAUAUGCUAUAACUCGGUCGUUUUACAUCAAGAUACACCCGAGUUCAACGUAGGAAGCAUCACUAUAAACCACAAAGGUCUCCCCCGGCGUCGGUAGAGCAAGUACCGGGGUUGUGGUCAAUCUCUCUUUUAACUCCUCAAAGCUCCGCUCGCAUUCGGGGCUCCAAACAUAUUUCACCCCUUUGUGCGUAAGGCGCGUUAGUGGAGUAGUUAUUUUUGCAAACCCCUCCACGAACCGCCGGUAAUAGCCCGCUAGUCCAAGGAAACUGCGGAUCUCCGAUACGUUCGUCGGGUGAGGCCAAUCUCUAAUUGCCUCAACCUUCUUCGGGUCCACCGAGAUACCAUCGCCCGAAAUUACAUGACCAAGGAAAGUGACCUCCGAUAGCCAAAAGUCGCACUUCUUCAACUUGGCAUAUAACUUCUCUUUUCGGAGUAUUUCCAACACGGUCCUCAAAUGCUCCUCGUGUUCUUCCUCGGUCCGAGAAUAUACCAAUACGUUGUCAAUAAAUACCACGACGCAUCGGUCCAAUAGCGGACGGAAGACUCUAUUCAUUAAGUCCAUGAACGCUGCCGGAGCGUUAGUAAGCCCAAACGGCAUCACUGUAAACUCAUAAUGGCCAUACCGCAUACGGUAUGCCGUCUUGUGCACAUCCUCGGAACGUAUCUUCAACUGAUGAUACCCCGACUGUAGGUCUAUUUUUGAAUACACCCUUAACCCUUGCAACUGAUCGAAUAAGUCAUCAAUCCUCGGCAACGGAUAUUUGUUCUUCACCGUGACCUUAUUCAACUCGCGGUAAUCCACGCAGAGUCGAAGUGUGCCAUCUUUCUUUUUAACGAAUAGCACCGGAGCUCCCCAGGGUGACGCGCUCGGCCUCACGAAGCCUUUGUCGAGCAGGUCUUGCAAUUGUGCCUUGAGCUCCUUUAGCUCCGCCGGUGCCAUUCUAUACGGAUUGGAGCCGCCCCGGGUACCAAGUCUAUAACGAACUCGAUCUCUCGGUCCGGUGGCAAACCCGGUAACUCCGCCGAAAAUACAUCCGGGAACUCACACACCACUCGAAUACCACUAAGUUCCGGGUGCUCCAUCGGGGCUUCUACCACGGUCGCCAAAUAGACUUCACAACCACCCUUUAUCAUCUUCCUUGCCCGUGCCGCCGACACAGUCGCCGCGAAGAGCGAGCUUCUAGCUGCCCGAUACACUAGCUUCUCUCGAUUAGGCUCACAAAAUAUAAUCACCUUACUUUCGCAAUCUAUCACGGCAUAAUACUUGGAGAGCCAGGUGGUCCCCAAGAUCACGUCGAAACCCUACAUUCGAUUCAACACUAACAGGUUGAUCGGCAUGACCCAAUCGACUAUCGGCACUGGGCACGCUACACACUCUUCGUGAACAUGGAAAGUAUGCUCGACCGAAUUCACCGUCCAAUAGUCAUAAUGAUGCACAAUCUUAAUGCCAUGAGUCCUAGCGAAUGAUGCAUCUAUGAAUGAAUGCGAUGCACCAGUGUUGAAUAAAGCUCUAGCUCUAGUGCCUCUGAUCGAGAUAAUUCCUGCCAUGAUGUCGUUGGGAACAGGAAUCGGCUCCUCCUCCACCUGAGUGGCAAAACCAGCCCACUCGGUGCUCUCAAUGCCUCCGGCUGACGUGAUGAAGAUGAGCGUCCAGCCGACAUAGCCGGUGGUAACCCCACCUGUUGCCUCGGGGUAUAAGGAACUGAUGCCGAGGUCGGUGCAGAUGAACCCCAGCUAGGGCACUCUCGCGACACAUGCCCAGGUUGGCCACACUUGAAGCAUUUCCCAUCCCGCUGCGGGCAUGACGGCGGUUGAUGGUUGCCGCUGCAAAUGACACAACGAGAUGGCUUCCAACCCCUUGACUGCUGUCGGGGAUACCGAGGGGGUUUCUUAGCGUUCGGCUGGCCCCCAGUGCUACCUGCUGUUCGCUUCUUGCUCUUCUCCUUGGCCUCGGCUGCGGAUUCAUGCUCCUCGCAUUUGUGGGCAUAGCCAUGCUCCGCCCACAAUGCCCGAUCAAAGACCUCCGCAAAGGUCGUGAGCUUAAGGAUUUGCACGGCCCUAUGAAUCCCCGGCCGCAAUCCUCGGGGAAACAGUCUGCUUGGUCCCAGUCAUCCCUAACAAUAUCCGAGACGCAGUCAACGAGGUUGGAGAACUCCUGCUCGUAGUCUGCCACCGAGCGAUCCCCUUGCCUCAACUUGCGGAAUUUCUCUUGUAGCUUCCGCUUCGCCGUAUCGGGGAAGUAAUUGGCGAACACCGCCCUCCGGAACUCCUCCCACAACAUAGGCGGAAGAUCGGGCGAUCGAUCCCGCCUAACACGCUUCCACCACACCUUCGCCGCCUUCUCGAGGCAAUGUGUGGUCCUUCUCCAAGGUGUUAAGGUCGUCGAAAAGUGUCUCCAUGGAGUCGAUCCAGGACUCCACCACCGCCGGUUCCACCACUCCCCCUUCGAAGGUAGAUGGGUUGAACUUUUGAAACUGAAUGAGAGCCGCGAACGCGCGCUCCCGCUCCGCCUCCUCCGCCACACUACCGGGGUUCGAGGUUCCCGAUCCAGCCGGCACCAUCGUAACUGGCAUGGCUGCCGCGGCCACACCCUCGGCCGCACUCGGCACCACUGCAGGAGGCGUAGGGUGCACGGCUUCCACGGGAGUCCCCUUGGCGCUGUACGGAUUCCGCCUGCUGCCGCACUACGCCAAUAAGCGCGGCCAUCUGCUCCCGAAGCUCCCCGUCGCCACCUGCUCCGGGUUGCAUAGGAGCCGUACUUGACUCCUCGGCCAUAGACCUUGUCCGCGGUCGACCACGAGGCAACUUAGGUCGUCCACGAGGCGGCAUUACUUCCUGAAACGAAGCAACUCACGUUAGUUACUUAGACAACAUACUCGAUUAUACCCAAUCCGGCGAAAGCAUAAAAGUGUAUUCAUUUCCAUUCCAAAGCGUCAUGUCGUCGGCUGCCGAUCACAACACAAGGAAAAGAAAACAAAUAACAACUUAAGUUUAGUCCCUAACCACAUUAGAGACAUAAUUACACCGACCCAAUCCAUGCCUUCGCUAUAACUUGUUCAACGUCACUCACGUUUUCUAGAUCCUUAAGGUUUUUCCAUUCCUAAGGGUCUCUAGGUCCACCCUAUGCUUUCACUUUUGGCUCUUUUACGCUCUGAUACCAUCUUAUCUGUCAUGCCCCGAGCCCGAUCCCUUUGGCCGGUUCGAGAGCGUCGAACAGACGCCGAACGGACAGAGCUUUCCCUGUCCGCCCAAGGCUAAACAACAAGUAUCAAUAGAGUAUAAAUUUGCAUAAGCGGAAGCAUACACAAUGGCUUGCAUGAGGGCAAGCAAUAGCCAAUAGUGAAAGUAAACAACUACACUUAGGAAAUUAAUUACAAUUUGCAUCAUUUCUUUUUACAUCCUAAUCUUCCAAAAUAUAACAUUGAUAUUAAAUGAAUUCUUUUACAUCAUUCAUUUCCUUUCAUUUAACAACCAUAAUCAUCAAAUACAAAAGAUGAUAAUAAAAAGGGUAUGCAACUACAAAAUAAAACAUCUCAGGCGGCCUCUACCUAGGGCGUGAUGCCCUUACCACGGUCGUCUACAGGCUCGCUCGGUCCCGGCUCUGUGGAAAUAAAUAGGGGUAUAAGAACUACAACAAAGUUCCCAGUGGGUUCGGCAACCAACCACGCCGACUAUCCCACUAGGUCUAAUCAGGUAUAAUAGAAUAAAAGAAAGAAAGUAACCUACUAACAAAUGCAACUAUUAUGCCUGAACAAUAAGAAUGCGAUGCUCGAUAUAAUGCUCAUGAGGAAUGCAAUAUUUCAAUUUCUUUACCCAAUCUCUUGGCUAACCCGUAGGUUUUGCCCUCAACAAACUCACCAACCCAAAAUCCUAUUUAACCGGGGAGAUACCCGCUACAACCCGAUAGGACCGUCCUCUGGGGAGAUACCCGCUACGACCCAAUGAUGUCGACUUCGGAGCACAUCGCCCGAGGGGGAGCUACCACCCUCGAGCAAGGACUAAAAGGUGAGUACGAUCAAUCCUACAUUGAGGAUUCCAAGUUCAAUCCGUUCCUUAACUUUAAGAAAAACCAUGCUCAAAUGACCCUUAACUCUAAGGUUGAAAUAUCACAAUGUCUCAAUCAUUCUUUGCUUUGCAUUCUUUACUAUCACUAGUGUCAUAUACACUACCAAGUUUUUGUACUCAUGCCGCACUUGUUCUCUAAGUGCUAUGUUCUUGUUUUCACACCAAAUAUCACACUCGUUUUCUAAGUGUUCUAGACUCAUCAAUGUCACUUACUAGAUCUAUGUCCAUGUGUCACUUUUGUUCACUAGCCCCUCUAGGUUCUUGUCACUUGUUAUGCAUAAAUAGGGUUAUAAUUCUCACAUUCUUACAAGUAUCUCAUAUGAAAUUAAAUUCACAAUCAUGCAAUAAAAGCUCACAAUUAACCCUACUAUGCAAGAUGCUCAAUAUAUACAUAUAUGUUCAAACAUGACACUAUAGACAUAAAGGGAUUUCCGAGGUCCUUGGAAUGCACCACCCACCUUAGACGGUUGUAGGGAUGCUACGGUGAAUUUCUUGGAAUUUUUGAAGCCCUAGUCCGCGUGCUGCGACUAUCUGUACGAAAAAUGACGUUUUUGUAAAUAACUUUGCGUACACUUGUCGGAUGGUCGAACCGAGCGUUCCAACGCGUUUAAAACACCCUCAAUUAGGUUUCUACAUGAUCAAAAUAGAUCAAAAUCCAACUUGGGCAAAACCCCUCUUUGGGAUGCCCUAGCAUAGUAUCUAUUAAAUUCUAGGGUUUGAUCUUUUGUACAAGCAAAAGAAAGCUUGUUGAAGCAUUAGGAACUACGUUAGAACCUUCCUAAACCAUUUCUAGGGCUUAAAAU